rnacentral:lncRNA from 1 species
CUAAUUGACUUAUAAGUCCAUUCCUGCCCUAUUUGGCCACUGCCAAAUUUGGCAGGUCCAUAUUUGGUAUAAUUCCAAAUCUGGUAAGUCCUAAAACAGUUUAAAACAUACUACAAACAUUACAACAAGGGGCCCCACUGGUAGUGGCACCAGGGGCCCAUAUGGAUGACAUGUAGGCCCACUGUCACAGCCCACCACAACACCGCUGUUAAACAAUAAAAGAAAUAGGCUAUGCGGGGGGAUUCGAACCCGCGACCUUUAGCUAACA